rnacentral:rRNA from 1 species
ACAUGCAAGUCGAACGAAGGCUUCGGCCUUAGUGGCGCACGGGUGCGUAACGCGUGGGAAUCUGCCCCUCGGUUCGGAAUAACAGUUAGAAAUGACUGCUAAUACCGGAUGAUGACGUAAGUCCAAAGAUUUAUCGCCGAGGGAUGAGCCCGCGUAGGAUUAGCUAGUUGGUGUGGUAAGAGCGCACCAAGGCGACGAUCCUUAGCUGGUCUGAGAGGAUGAUCAGCCACACUGGGACUGAGACACGGCCCAGACUCCUACGGGAGGCAGCAGUGGGGAAUAUUGGACAAUGGGCGAAAGCCUGAUCCAGCAAUGCCGCGUGAGUGAUGAAGGCCUUAGGGUUGUAAAGCUCUUUUACCCGGGAUGAUAAUGACAGUACCGGGAGAAUAAGCUCCGGCUAACUCCGUGCCAGCAGCCGCGGUAAUACGGAGGGAGCUAGCGUUAUUCGGAAUUACUGGGCGUAAAGCGCACGUAGGCGGCUUUGUAAGUAAGAGGUGAAAGCCCAGAGCUCAACUCUGGAAUUGCCUUUUAGACUGCAUCGCUUG